CCUACGGGAGGCAGCAGUGAGGAAUAUUGGUCAAUGGACGAGAGUCUGAACCAGCCAAGUAGCGUGAAGGAUGACUGCCCUAUGGGUUGUAAACUUCUUUUAUAUGGGAAUAAAACGUUCCACGUGUGGGAUUUUGUAUGUACCAUAUGAAUAAGGAUCGGCUAACUCCGUGCCAGCAGCCGCGGUAAUACGGAGGAUCCGAGCGUUAUCCGGAUUUAUUGGGUUUAAAGGGAGCGUAGGUGGAUUGUUAAGUCAGUUGUGAAAGUUUGCGGCUCAACCGUAAAAUUGCAGUUGAAACUGGCAGUCUUGAGUACAGUAGAGGUGGGAGGAAUUCGUGGUGUAGCGGUGAAAUGCUUAGAUAUCACGAAGAACUCCGAUUGCGAAGGCAGUUCACUGGACUGCAACUGACACUGAGGCUCGAAAGUGUGGGUAUCAAACAGGAUUAGAUACCCUAGUAGUC
rnacentral:rRNA from 1 species